AGAGUUUGAUCAUGGCUCAGAGCGAACGUUAGCGGCGGGCCUAACACAUGCAAGUCGAACGAGAAUGUAGACUUCGGUCUACUAGUAAAGUGGCGGACGGGUGCGUAACACGUGGGUAAUCUACCUUCCGGCGGGGGACAACAGUCCGAAAGGAUUGCUAAUACCGCGUACGUCAGCGGCGCCUACGGGCGCUGUUGGGAAAGAUGGCCUCUCCUUGGAAGCUAUCACCGGAAGAUGAGCCCGCGUCCCAUCAGCUAGUUGGUGAGGUAAUGGCUCACCAAGGCAAAGACGGGUAGCUGGUCUGAGAGGAUGAUCAGCCACACUGGGACUGCGACACGGCCCAGACUCCUACGGGAGGCAGCAGUGGGGAAUAUUGGGCAAUGGGCGAAAGCCUGACCCAGCCACGCCGCGUGAGUGAUGAAGGCCUUCGGGUCGUAAAGCUCUGUGGGGAGGGACGAACAAAUCUGGGGCUAAUCACCCGGAUCCUGACGGUACCUCCUUAGCAAGCACCGGCUAACCCUGUGCCAGCAGCCGCGGUAAUACAGGGGGUGCAAACGUUGCUCGGAAUCAUUGGGCGUAAAGCGCACGUAGGCGGUCUGUUAUGUCGGAUGUGAAAGCCCUUGGCUUAACUGAGGAAGUGCAUCCGAAACUGGCAGGCUAGAGUACUAAAGAGGGUCGCGGAAUUCCCGGUGUAGAGGUGAAAUUCGUAGAUAUCGGGAGGAACACCGGUGGCGAAGGCGGCGACCUGGGUAGAUACUGACGCUGAGGUGCGAAAGCGUGGGGAGCAAACAGGAUUAGAUACCCUAGUAGUCC
rnacentral:rRNA from 1 species